AUAGCUAUGGGGCACAGUGGGAGUACUGCUACAAGAGCACAAGGACGUAGCUGAGAAGCCUGCUGCUCCGCUUGGUACCGGAGAUCAAGCCCUCUCUCUAAAGAACUCUGGCAUAUAGGAUAGAGUAUUGUUGAUCAGAAGAAAUGCCUGCUCUUUUUUGCAGCUCAGUUCCUGGUUUCCUUAGUAACUGUUGGUAAAAGUAAAUGCACCUGAGUGUAGUUUUAACAAUGUGAAAUUUCUACAUACGUUGCCCAAUCCAAUUCCACCCACUCUCAGCAUCUCCCUCAUCUUCCACGAUAGACCUGCCAUUACAUGCUAUACGGUACGAUCACUAGCAGAGUGGGUGCAAUCAGAGACUGAGAAGCAUGUUAACAGAAGUCCUGGCAAAGAACAAAAAUAACCCCCUGCCAGUCACCAUAGCAAAUGUUGCUCCCGAGAGACAGGAAAAAAUUAUAUACUGAGAUGUAAGUGGCAUAAGCCUGCCUACACCCUGUGUAGGAAGGGGCUUUAAUAAAGCACUGAGAGCCUGCACGUGGGUGGAGAGAAAAACAAAUGUUAACGGUGCCUUUUGUUGUCUUGGAUAGCACGAAAGAGAAUGGAGAGUGAAGGGAAAGCUCCCCUUGUUCUGGAGAAAUACAGACUCAUUGUGAUAACUGCAGAGAGACUGGGUGGGAAAGGUCUUCAAAAUCAUUCUCAUGGGAUGGGGAAAGCAUCCUGCUUCACUCUAACACAGGUUUGGGACCCGGACUACGCUGCCUACACCUAAUGAUAUUUUGGAAGCUCCUGUGGAUAAUUAGGUUAAUCAAUUUAUGUGGGUCUACAUGAAGUGCUCCAGAAAUCCCUAAGUGUUGAAAUUAUAUUCUACUGUCUCAACAAUACAAUCCCUGCUCUGCUAUUAGUGUGAAGGACCAGUGACAUCCAGUGGCAAGUUGGAGUGACUGAAUUCCUUACAAUUCUGCCAAAGCACAGGUGCUUUAUUUUCACAUGGGUUGAUAGCAACUCUGUCCUGUUGUUUUAGAAUCAUUAUUAAACAUAUCUUGUCUCUUGCUUCUUACUCCAGGCCCACUUCUGUGGUAGCUGGGCACCUACUGAGCAUGCUCCGUUUGCUAUUCUUGUGAAUUACAUAUAGUUCUAUAUUUGUUUUAACUUUGGUUGCAUGGGUACUUCAGUGUGAGCUUCAUCGGGAACAAUGGCCAUAAAACUGAAAAUUCUCUAGCAAUGACGUUCCACAUAAACAUAACCAGGGAGAAAUUUGACCUUGGGAGAGGCUAUGUGCCUAAAAUACAUGACUUGGUUAAGGAUACUAUGAAACAUUUUUCUAACACUUAAGAAAGAGUACAGAAAGGGACUGAGCACUCAGCUAGAGUACUGACUUUAGAGUGAGUGAAGAUUGCUGUCUCUCUCUCUCCUUCCCUCCCCCAUUUUAGGAAGAAAUUCUGACCACUGUACAACGAUUGUUUACCAAACCUCCACGAACUUCUCUUAAAGGUCCAAGAUCACUAAUCAAAUGUUGGUGUGUAUUGUAAAUUACAUUUUGGAGAAUGCUAUAUUUCAAAAACAGUUCCUCCUUUUGCUCACUGCCUAGUUCUGGAUUCACUUUUCCUUGAAAAAGAGUUGAUCUCUAGUAUUCACUUGAACUACAGAUGCAAUCCUCAUGGAAUGAGUGAAAGAAUAAAUGUCAUUUAUAGUCUGGGUGGGAAAUAUUUGAACUUGGAAGCAGUUAUUAGCAAAAUUUUAAAAAAAUCUUCUGUUCACAAUGUUGAAAGUACAGAAUAGAGAAUUAUUUUGUUUAAAAUACAAAGUAAUUAAAAAAAUGUAACAUAACUUGUGACAAAUAUGAAUUGCAGAUCCUCUGGUAACUUUAAUAUUAGAGGGGCCUUUAUUAAAGAGAAUGUUUUACUGCUUGUGUUUAGAUGCACUGAACUCUGAACCCCUCUGUGUAAAAAUAGAUCACUGAUAACCCUUAAUAAAGUUGU